rnacentral:rRNA from 1 species
GCUUACGGCCAUACCACCCUGAACACGCCCGAUCUCGUCCGAUCUCGGAAGCUAAGCAGGGUUGGGCCUGGUUAGUACUUGGAUGGGAGACCGCCUGGGAAUACCAGGUGCUGUAAGCU